AUCUGCCAAAAGGACUGGGACAACAGCUGGAAAUGGCUGCUAAUACCGGAUAUGCCAUAAAGUGAAAAUGGUAAAACCGCCUUUAGAUGAGCUCGCGUCCAAUUAGAUAGUUGGUGGGGUAAAAGCCUACCAAGGCGACGAUCGUCAACUGGUCUGAGAGGAUGACCAGUCACACUGGUACUGAGACACGGCCCAGACUCCUACGGGAGGCAUCAGUGGGGAAUUUUCCGCAAUGGGCGAAAGCCUGACGGAGCAAUACCGCGUGAGGAAGGAAGGCUCUUGGGUUGUAAACCUCUUUUCUCACGGAAGAACAAAAUGACGGUACUUGAGGAAUCAGCAUCGGCUAACUCCGUGCCAGCAGNCGCGGUNAAUACGGAGGAUGCAAGCGUUAUCYGGAAUGAUUGGSCGUAAAGCGUCCGCAGGUGGCUUUGCAAGUCUGCUGUCAAAGCUCAGGGCUUAACCCUGAAUCGGCGGUGGAAACUGAAAGGCUAGAGUGUGGUAGGGGCAGAGGGAAUUCCCAGUGUAGCGGUGAAGUGCGUAGAGAUUGGGAAGAACACCAGUGGCGAAAGCGCUCUGCUAGACCGCAACUGACACUCAUGGACGAAAGCUAGGGGAGCGAAUGGGAUUAGAUACCCCAGUAGUCCUAGCCGUAAACGAUGGAUACUAGGCGUUAAGAGUAUCGACCCUUUUAGUGCCGUAGCUAACGCGUUAAGUAUCCCGCCUGGGGAGUACGCACGCAAGUGUGAAACUCAAAGGAAUUUACGGGGGCCCGCACAAGCGGUGGAGUAUGUGGUUUAAUUCGAUGCAACGCGAAGAACCUUACCAGGACUUGACAUGUCGCGAAUCCUUAGGAAACUAGGGAGUGCCUUCGGGAGCGCGAACACAGGUGGUGCAUGGCUGUCGUCAGCUCGUGUCGUGAGAUGUUGGGUUAAUUUACGCAAGCGAGUUCAACCCUCGUGCUUAGUUGCCAUCAUUAAGUUGGGAACUCUAAGCAGACUGCCGGUGACAAACCGGAGGAAGGUGGGGAUGACGUCAAGUCAGCAUGCUCCUUACGUCCUGGGCAACACACGUAUUACAAUGCUACGGACAAAGGGCAGCAAGAAUGCGAAUUCAAGCUAAUCUCAUAAACCGUGGCUCAGUUCAGAUCGCAGGCUGCAACUCGCCUGCGUGAAGGCGGAAUCG
rnacentral:rRNA from 1 species